CACAGGUACUGAAGAAAACAUCUGCAUGUAACAGCAUCAGCAACAGAAAGUUGCAGUCUUGCAGCACCAUUUUUUCCUUGAAAUGUCAAGCAUCAAAGUUUGAAUGAUGAAUAAAUUACGGGACAAAUAUGAAAUGCAACAAAAAGAUGAAGUGGAGAAUGAGUAUAUAAUGCAUUCUGACAAUCCAAGAAAAGCAGAUUGAAAGUUGGCAUUGUAUAAAUUGGAAAGACACCAGAGAAGAAUGCUACCUGAAUAAUAAAUGCCUAAAAUUGC